CCCUUAGAUGUUCUGGGCUGCACGCGCGCUACACUGAAGCUAUCAACACGUUUUCCCUCCCUGAGAAGGGCGGGUAACCUUUUGAAUCAGCUUCGUGGUAGGGAUCGGGGCUUGCAAUUGUUCCCCGUGAACCAGGAAUUCCUAGUAGACGCGAGUCAUAAGCUCGCAUCGAUUAAGUCCCUGCCCUUUGUACACACCGCCCGUCGCUACUACCGAUUGAACGUUUUAGUGAGGCAUUUGGACCGACGCAUCUCAGUUUAACCGCGGGUUUGUGUUGGAAAGACUUCCAAACUUGCGCGUUUAGAGGAAGUAAAAGUCGUAACA
rnacentral:rRNA from 1 species